rnacentral:lncRNA from 1 species
UUUCACCCAAGUGACAGCAUAUAAGAGUCCUCUUUCCAAUCAAAGAUAGUCGAGAUAUGGAGGACCUAGACUUAGAUAAAGAAAUAAGUCCAGCCCAUUUGUUUAGUUUUUGCACCUCCUUGUCCUGUUUCUACAAGAGAAACCAAGGCAAACACCAAGGCUCCGGUCAUGAGAAGGCGAAAGCGAGGUGAUAAUGAAAAAUCCAAGCCCAUUUGUUAUCGAGAUUGAGGCACCCUGUAUAGCUUCGUUAGUCUUUUUUUUUUUCCCCUUCAAGCAAAUAUUUGAUAGGUUUGAGGAUACUAAUUCUAGGUUUUUUAGGAGUCCUAGUUUCUAGCUAUAAAUACUAGUUGUAGGAGAGCGAAACGAGAACAAAUUGCUGGGUCUGCUUGGUAUCAGUUAUAUU